GGUUAAGCGACUAAGCGUACACGGUGGAUGCCCUGGCAGUCAGAGGCGAUGAAGGACGUGCUAAUCUGCGAAAAGCGUCGGUAAGGUGAUAUGAACCGUUAUAACCGGCGAUGUCCGAAUGGGGAAACCCAGUGCAAUUCGUUGCACUAUCGUUAACUGAAUACAUAGGUUAACGAGGCGAACCGGGGGAACUGAAACAUCUAAGUACCCCGAGGAAAAGAAAUCAACCGAGAUUCCCCCAGUAGCGGCGAGCGAACGGGGAGCAGCCCAGAGUCUGAAUCAGCUUGUGUGUUAGUGGAACGGUCUGGAAAGUCCGACGGUACAGGGUGAUAGUCCCGUACACCAAAAUGCACAGGUUGUGAACUCGAAGAGUAGGGCGGGACACGUGGUAUCCUGUCUGAAUAUGGGGGGACCAUCCUCCAAGGCUAAAUACUCCUGACUGACCGAUAGUGAACCAGUACCGUGAGGGAAAGGCGAAAAGAACCCCGGCGAGGGGAGUGAAAAAGAACCUGAAACCGUGUACGUACAAGCAGUGGGAGCACCUUCGGGUGUGACUGCGUACCUUUUGUAUAAUGGGUCAGCGACUUAUAUUCUGUAGCAAGGUUAACCGUAUAGGGGAGCCGCAGGGAAACCGAGUCUUAACUGGGCGUUAAGUUGCAGGGUAUAGACCCGAAACCCGGUGAUCUAGCCAUGGGCAGGUUGAAGGUUGGGUAACACUAACUGGAGGACCGAACCGACUAAUGUUGAAAAAUUAGCGGAUGACUUGUGGCUGGGGGUGAAAGGCCAAUCAAACCGGGAGAUAGCUGGUUCUCCCCGAAAGCUAUUUAGGUAGCGCCUCGUGAACUCAUCUUCGGGGGUAGAGCACUGUUUCGGCUAGGGGGUCAUCCCGACUUACCAACCCGAUGCAAACUACGAAUACCGAAGAAUGUUAUCACGGGAGACACACGGCGGGUGCUAACGUCCGUCGUGAAGAGGGAAACAACCCAGACCGCCAGCUAAGGUCCCAAAGUCAUGGUUAAGUGGGAAACGAUGUGGGAAGGCACAGACAGCCAGGAUGUUGGCUUAGAAGCAGCCAUCAUUUAAAGAAAGCGUAAUAGCUCACUGGUCGAGUCGGCCUGCGCGGAAGAUGUAACGGGGCUAAACCAUGCACCGAAGCUGCGGCAGCGACACUAUGUGUUGUUGGGUAGGGGAGCGUUCUGUAAGCCUGCGAAGGUGUGCUGUGAGGCAUGCUGGAGGUAUCAGAAGUGCGAAUGCUGACAUAAGUAACGAUAAAGCGGGUGAAAAGCCCGCUCGCCGGAAGACCAAGGGUUCCUGUCCAACGUUAAUCGGGGCAGGGUGAGUCGACCCCUAAGGCGAGGCCGAAAGGCGUAGUCGAUGGGAAACAGGUUAAUAUUCCUGUACUUGGUGUUACUGCGAAGGGGGACGGAGAAGGCUAUGUUAGCCGGGCGACGGUUGUCCCGGUUUAAGCAUGUAGGCUGAUUAUCCAGGCAAAUCCGGAUAAUCAAGGCUGAGGUGUGAUGACGAGGCACUACGGUGCUGAAGUAACAAAUGCCCUGCUUCCAGGAAAAGCCUCUAAGCAUCAGGUAACAUCAAAUCGUACCCCAAACCGACACAGGUGGUCAGGUAGAGAAUACCAAGGCGCUUGAGAGAACUCGGGUGAAGGAACUAGGCAAAAUGGUGCCGUAACUUCGGGAGAAGGCACGCUGGUGUGUAGGUGAAGCCCCUGCGGGUGGAGCUGAGACCAGUCGAAGAUACCAGCUGGCUGCAACUGUUUAUUAAAAACACAGCACUGUGCAAACACGAAAGUGGACGUAUACGGUGUGACGCCUGCCCGGUGCCGGAAGGUUAAUUGAUGGGGUUAUCCGUAAGGAGAAGCUCUUGAUCGAAGCCCCGGUAAACGGCGGCCGUAACUAUAACGGUCCUAAGGUAGCGAAAUUCCUUGUCGGGUAAGUUCCGACCUGCACGAAUGGCGUAAUGAUGGCCAGGCUGUCUCCACCCGAGACUCAGUGAAAUUGAACUCGCUGUGAAGAUGCAGUGUACCCGCGGCAAGACGGAAAGACCCCGUGAACCUUUUUAUAGCUUGACACUGAACAUUGAGCCUUGAUGUGUAGGAUAGGUGGGAGGCUUUGAAGCGUGGACGCCAGUCUGCGUGGAGCCAACCUUGAAAUACCACCCUUUAAUGUUUGAUGUUCUAACGUUGGCCCCUGACCGGGGUUGCGGACAGUGUCUGGUGGGUAGUUUGACUGGGGCGGUCUCCUCCCAAAGCGUAACGGAGGAGCACGAAGGUUAGCUAAUCCUGGUCGGACAUCAGGAGGUUAGUGCAAUGGCAUAAGCUAGCUUGACUGCGAGCGUGACGGCGCGAGCAGGUGCGAAAGCAGGUCAUAGUGAUCCGGUGGUUCUGAAUGGAAGGGCCAUCGCUCAACGGAUAAAAGGUACUCCGGGGAUAACAGGCUGAUACCGCCCAAGAGUUCAUAUCGACGGCGGUGUUUGGCACCUCGAUGUCGGCUCAUCACAUCCUGGGGCUGAAGUAGGUCCCAAGGGUAUGGCUGUUCGCCAUUUAAAGUGGUACGCGAGCUGGGUUUAGAACGUCGUGAGACAGUUCGGUCCCUAUCUGCCGUGGGCGCUGGAGAAUUGAGGGGGCUGCUCCUAGUACGAGAGGACCGGAGUGGACGCAUCACUGGUGUUCGGGUUGUCAUGCCAAUGGCACUGCCCGGUAGCUAAAUGCGGAAGAGAUAAGUGCUGAAAGCAUCUAAGCACGAAACUUGCCCCGAGAUGAGUUCUCCCUGAGACUUUAAGUCUCCUGAAGGAACGUUAAAGACGAUGACGUUGAUAGGCCGGGUGUGUAAGCGCAGCGAUGCGUUGAGCUAACCGGUACUAAUGAACCGUGAGGCUUAACCUU
rnacentral:rRNA from 1 species